AACGUAGGUCACAAGCGUUGUCCGGAAUUACUGGGUGUAAAGGGAGCGCAGGCGGGAAGACAAGUUGGAAGUGAAAUCCAUGGGCUCAACUCAUGAACUGCUUUCAAAACUGUUUUUCUUGAGUAGUGCAGAGGUAGGCGGAAUUCCCGGUGUAGCGGUGGAAUGCGUAGAUAUCGGGAGGAACACCAGUGGCGAAGGCGGCCUACUGGGCACCAACUGACGCUGAGGCUCGAAAGUGUGGGUAGCAAACAGG
rnacentral:rRNA from 1 species